AGCAGUUCGACUUUUUAGAGGCAACAAUCAACUUACACAGCAUGGAACCAAAGGAAAGUGAGCCAUUUUUCCACCCACUUUUGUUAACUUAGCAUCCUCAUCAAAGGCCCGAACCUUAAACAACAGAUCCAGAGUUUUAAUUAUCGCUUCAGUUGUUGGAGUAUAUUUGAAGUCAAAAGUUCAUCAACUCUUAACUCACAAUUCUGUUGAGUAACAGCACAACAUUUGCAAGGAGCUGGUCGUCCUGAUUGACCAGCACGUUCGUUGGCACACGCCUUCUACAUGGGAGCGACCACCAAACACUCAAUUCCUGUCCGAGUCAACUUUUGGCAAUAGUCGUCAACUUAUUUUAAUUUUCUUAACAUCCAAAUUACAAAAGGAGCUUCAAGAACAGAAGCUAACAGAGUACAAAGAGUGACUAUGAGGCUCUAAUGAAGAUAACGAGUUGAUCUUUAUUGCUAACAGAGCAGCCAAGAUAGGUACAUGUAUUGCUGCAACAGUUGUUCGAGAAGAUCCGAAUGCACAGAUUUCUGGAAAUAAUAUCGACAGAAUGUAUAUAAAGAAGAAAACAGCAUAUGAUCUUUGCAUAUGUAACAGUUAGCCGAAAAAAUCAUGCUGUUAUAAGUUAUUUUAGUAGUUUAUUAGUUAUAAACAACAUAUUUGUAUCAUUUCAUGUUUUCCCUUCUCCCAAACUUUGCGAUUUAGU